rnacentral:lncRNA from 1 species
CGCAUACUAAAACAGAGUAGACUGAUCGGACGACAUGCGCAUCAGAGAAAUAGAAUGGAUUUCACAUCGAUAGAAAGAAAGUCCUUGUCUUUCUCUGUCUCGGUAGUAGCAUCAGCCUCAUUGCCCGGUAUGGCUUGAUAGUGGUAUAAGGAUUUCCCUGUAGGUGGUCCGCUUACUGUGCUAUUUCAAUGCUUCGGGGUAGAAGAUGUCGAAGGAACAAAGAGGACGAAGGUUCUUCGGCGCAUAUUCGUAGGAUAUGACACCGAACGAAAAGGAUGGAGAUGUUUCGACCUACCCGUAAAAGA